AUACGGAGGGGGCUAGCGUUGUUCGGAAUUACUGGGCGUAAAGCGCGCGUAGGCGGAUUGAUCAGUCAGGGGUGAAAUCCCGGAGCUUAACUCCGGAACUGCCUUUGAUACUGUCAAUCUUGAGUUCGAGAGAGGUGUGUGGAAUUCCUAGUGUAGAGGUGAAAUUCGUAGAUAUUAGGAAGAACACCAGUGGCGAAGGCGGCUCACUGGCUCGAUACUGACGCUGAGGUGCGAAAGCGUGGGGAGCAAACAGGAUUAGAAACCCGAGUAGUCC
rnacentral:rRNA from 1 species